GUCCUCAGGUAGAACUAUUUCCAAUUUUCUGAGGAACUUCCAGUCUGAUUUCCAGAUCUUAAGUGUCUCACUUCAUGAAGUUUUGUGAUUAUGCAUGCCAGUGUAACUACACUCUGACCAUUAGAAAAUUUCCAUAGAAUAUUCUUUUUCCCUCUUUUUCAGUCAAUUUCCUUUUCUUCUGAAUUCUAUUUUUAGAUUACUUUUCUGUGUGAUUACAUGUGUGCAGAACCACUCUACAUUUACUUAUAUAUGUGCCUAAUUUUUUAAACUAUGGGUAGAUUUGAAGUCACUCAUGUUUUACAGUGCCAUUCCUAAGUAUUCUGAAACAUAUGCAUGUUAUUAAGAUAUUGAAACGUAACCAUUUUCCUGGCACACACACUAUUUUUAAGGAGGGAAUUCUCAACUUGUUUUUGUUGUUGUUGAUUAACUUAGGUGGAUUUAACUUAUUUUAAAAAAGAAAAUGUAUUUUAAAUUCUUUCAAAUGUAUUUAUGCAUUAAUGCUUUUGGAAGUCCCAGGCUUGAUGUGACUAUUUUUAUUCAUGUCAUACUUGUUAAGUAAGUCAGAAGUUCCAGUGAAACUUACAUGGAGCAACUGGAGGCAAUGACAAUGACUAGAUAGACUUGUUCUCUAAGUAGUCUUUAGAUUGAAGCAUUGAUGAUAUAGUGAGCUCUGUAUUCAAUGGAGAUAGCGUUAUUUUUUUAUUUACACUAAUGUAGAAUGCUCGAAGAUGGGCAAAAUUAGUGGUUUCUGUGGGACUAUUUUAGUACUUUGAUCGCAUACACGUAUUCAUUAAAAAUUUACAUUGGUCAUGCUAUUCCUUACAGUGUAGAUUGAAAUGAAGCACGUUAAUUAAAUUAAAAAAAAUGGUGGCAUUAGC
rnacentral:lncRNA from 1 species